AGUCUUCCGACCGCCUCAGAAAGGAGCAAGCACGGAGCGCGCGGCCUAGGCUCUUUUUGAAAAUAAAUAUGUGGACGCAACAGUAUGGAUUUGAAAGCGCAUUUAGGAAGAGAUGUUUUUAAAGUUUAACAUUUUUUAAUUUAUGAAUUUAAUAUAUAGGCUAUAUACAGUAUGUAUAUAUAUAUAUAAUUUUUUAUUUUUUAUUUUUUUUAUUAUGGUGUGGCGGCAAGGGUUUUGCCGUGGCGUGGCGCCGCGGAAACGUUGCUACAGCCUCUCCCCCCUCAUGCUGCUGUGUGCUAGUCAUCACUUAUCGUCCAUUUCCUGUUCAGUCUCUGCCUAGUCAAUUAGUGAGCAUGCACACAUAGAGAGGGGGACGUGCACAUAUUAGCAGUGAGCAACAGAACAAUUCUUUAGUUUCCUCAUUUGUCUUUUUGCAUGCAAAUACUUUCUGAAAGUAUUGCCAUUACAACCAAGAAAUUUCUUUGGACUGGGUAGAGAUUUCUCAGCUUUUAAUCAGUUCUAUAGUAAUAAUGACAGAGAGAUGAGAGGAAGUCCGGACAAUAUCAUCUACUUUCUGCUCUGCCCAUGUGGGCGUGGCUACAUAGGCUAAAGCAUGAGACCACUCCGCGUUCGCAUUAGUGAACACAAAACUUCCAUCAGAAGGGGCUUUAAGAUGCAUUGGCAUUGAGAAAGUAAAAACAAGUAGAAGGGUUGGAGAUUUCCAUAAACUAAUCCUUAAACGUGAAGCCUACUGUCAAUUCAGUUUGGACACGAAGUUCUGCGAUGAACGAGGAUUUAGAACUGUCAUGUUUUUUGUUGGUUGAAAUACACCAAUUACUUUGAGGCACAGUCCUUUUGUUGGCUGAACUUUGAUAUAGGAUUUAUGAUAUAGGAUUUAUCACACCAUGUUUCAGGAUCUGUACACAACCAAUAAGCCAAAAGUAUGUUUGAACUGAUACCAUAUGUUUUGAGAAUUAAUUCACUAUGAGUAAUUAAGCUAUUGUCAUCUAAUUCUAAUUGCCUCUCUAUGUUCUGAUCCAGCUGUUUGUCUAAUAAGGGACUCACAUAUGUUCCCACCAUCUAAUUAGUCUUAAGUAUGUUUGAAUUGAUAUUACAUGUUUUGAGAAUGAAUUUACUAAGGGUAUCUAAGCUAUUGUCAUCAAAUUCUAAUUUCCUGUCCAUGUUUUUGGUCCAUCUGGUUGUCCAAUGAGUGACUGACGUAUGUUCUCGCCCUUCAAGAAACGAACGUCUAUUCAUAUACUGUGGAGCUAUUUGUUAAAUUACUUGACAACACAUUGACCAUUUGUGAACAUAAUUGAUUGCAUAAAAUGGUUGGUGGUUUUAAUUAUUGGAUAUUUAGAGCCUUAAUUGGCAAAGAUGACGCAAUUAUCUUCGUCAUCAUCUUUUGUUUCUUUAAAACCUUUGCUGAUUCAGCGCAUAACCAUUAUACACUGAAGACGGCUCAGGCUGAAACGUGUCUAUUUUCAUGUUCACAAAUAAAAUCUAAACAAGUAUGAAGAAGUCAUAAAUUGCCAAGGGAUUCAUUUUUUGAUCACUUCCGUUAUAUCCCGCUUCCCUGCCAGACAGCUGCAGCGGCCCCUCAGAAAGACCACGCCCAUGGAAACAAAGACCUCCGGAUUUUUUUAUCUACUGCUCUGAAAGCACAGCUGGUCAUGCUUGGCUGAAGCAAUUUCCUUCUGCUUCUAGAUAUCACCCACUGACAACAUGAGGAAUGCCUGAAUGUUUAAACUGACUGAAGCAGAUGCAAACAGAAAAGUGAUAUAUUUAUAUGCAAUAUGAGAUUUUAAAAGUUCAACACCAUUAGAGACUUAAUCAAAGCCAAUGAGCAACAGGUCAUUAUCCAAGUGGAUUUC